AAAAUGAGACACCUGGCGGAGACACAUCACUCGUUAGGCAAUGAUGUGAACUAUGAAUGGUGACUUUGGGUGAUAUGCCUUCCCGUUCC
ensembl:ncRNA Y23H5B.13 ncRNA